UACGUAGGGUCCGAGCGUUGUCCGGAAUUACUGGGCGUAAAGAGCUCGUAGGCGGUUUGUCGCGUCGAAUGUGAAAACCCGGGGCUCAACCCCGGGCCUGCAUUCGAUACGGGCAGACUAGAGUUCGGUAGGGGAGUCUGGAAUUCCCGGUGUAGCGGUGAAAUGCGUAGAGAUCGGGAGGAAGGCCGGUGGCGAAGGCGGCGCUCUGGAACGUUUCUGACGCUGAGGCUCGAAAGCGUGGGGAGCGAACAGG
rnacentral:rRNA from 1 species